rnacentral:lncRNA from 1 species
GAGAGACUGGGUUCUGACAGAAUUCCGUAGCGGUAAAGCUCCUAUCCUCAUCGCCACUGAUGUGGCGUCUCGUGGUCUGGCACAAGGCAGCUCCAGCACAUGCUGGUGUCAGACAGUACUGGGGCUGCCCUCAGUCAUGUUAGCAGCUAGCUAGUGGCUUGUCUAGUUACCAGAAGGAUACACCCCCCCAUUCUCCACCUUCUCUGGUUCCUAAACACCCCAAAUAGACCCCCACAAUAAACUGAGGGUAUAUGAUUAUCUGGUUCCUAAACACCCCCAUAGACCCCCAUCAUAGACUGAGGGUAUGUGAUUCCAGCGAGCUCUCCUUGGGAUCAACCUGAGGUGCCUGUUUGUCUGUCCCUCCGUCCGUCCAAAAGGCAGACAGACAGGGAGAGUUAGGAGCUCGGCUGGAUCGAGUCCUGAUUGAUCUGCGGAGGUCCUGCAACUCGGCGAGAGAGCAACAGAACCGGCCGUUGGGGGGGGGUGGGUUAGCGGUUCUGCUCCUGUCCGACGUUGCUGGUGUAUGCGAAGGGUGA